rnacentral:lncRNA from 1 species
AGGAUAAGCGACAUCGGGGCAGGUCCUGGGUAGAGUCCAGGUUGGCGGUUCCUGGGGCAGGGCCAGGAUAGGGCGAUCCUGGAAGCUGGGCUUCGGAAGCGUCCAGCUGUUGUUCCCCACCAGAACCAAAUGAGCGCAAGAUCUGACAAAGAAAAAAAAAGGUUCAUCUUUUAUUCCUCCAAACACUUUCAUUUAAAUCAAGAGGAUGGGAUGUGGUUAUUGCUGUGUUUUUAGACAGAAUCAACGGUUUCUGGGUCUGAGAUGUUGCAUACACCUUCUCAGUCCCUGUAUCCUGAGAUGGAGUCACCUGAGAAUCCACAGCAAGUCCUAACCAGGGAUGGGUCUGGGUGAUUAAGGAAGGUUGGCUUCAGAACUGGGCCAGGGGCACUGCUUUGCUUUUGCUGUUUUGAUCAGCUCUCUGCCUGAAGGAGACAAGAAAAACCAACGGGAACAGCCCAGUAAAGGCGCCAUUCCCCAUUUUACAGCUGGGGAAACUGAGUUACAGAGCUUGUCUGCACUGAGUCAUCAGGAGCAAAUGCUAGAUCAGAUAGGGUCUCUCUCUCUGCCACCCAGGCCAGAGUGCAGUUGACGCAGGGCAGGGGAGCCCCGAAGUGGAGCAUAGUGUGUCCGGAACUGGUGGGUUCUUGGUCUCACUGACUUCAAGAAAGAAGCCGCGGACCCUCGCGAGACGGGGUCUUGCUCUGUUGCUCAAGCU